rnacentral:tRNA from 1 species
GGUCCGUUGGUCAAGAGGUUAAGACACCGCCCUUUCACGGCGGUAACACGGGUUCGAAUCCCGUACGGACCA